rnacentral:piRNA from 1 species
AAAACGAGGGACUCCAAUUUAGU